rnacentral:lncRNA from 1 species
GUCGCCCGCUGGGGCCCUUUGCCACUCCCUUGGGAAGGAGAGCCGAGACCUCAGUUCCCGACGGCUCUUGCGGGGCACAGAUGGGCAGCAGGAGGCUCCGGAGGUGGCGCCCAGGCUCUGAGCUACCCUAGGACUGCAGACUAGCGGGCAUUGGCCAGAGACAUGGCCCAGCCACUGGCCUUCAUCCUCGAUGUCCCUGAGACCCCAGGGGACCAGGGCCAGGACCUCAGCCCCUAUGAUGAAAGCGAAGUGCACGACUCCUUCCAGCAGCUCAUCCAGGAGCAGAGCCAGUGCACGGCCCAGGAGGGGCUGGAGCUGCAGCAGAGAGAGCGAGAGGUGACAGGAAGUAGCCAGCAGACACUCUGGCGGCCCGAGGGCACCCAGAGCACGGCCACACUGCGCAUCCUGGCCAGCAUGCCCAGCCGCACCAUUGG